AAAGUCGUAACAAGGUUUCCGUAGGUGAACCUGCGGAAGGAUCAUUACCAAAUCCAAAUUCAACCACUUGUGAACAUGUCUUGUAUUGUCUUUUGGGAGGUUUAAGAGUUCUACUCUUUCUUUCCAACAACUGUUUCACAGCAGUUGUUGGAAGCCUCCCAUCAGGCGCGUGUGCCUAUUGCUGAAAAGCAGUAAGCCACAAACCCAAUAUGAACCACAAUUCAAAAUUAUCAUUUGGUUUUUUACAAAAAACAAAAUGACAACUUUUAACGGUGGAUCUCUUGGCUCAU
rnacentral:misc_RNA from 1 species